AGUACCUCACUCAUCACAGAGUAGGGAAGCAGAGCGGAUAAGGACAUGGAGCACCAUGACAGGACUGGCCAAGAAUGGGAAUGGGAGGGAGUAACAGAUGGAAGCCUGCUGGACUUUAGAGAAUAGGUGUUGACCAGGGAUAGGCACUCCUGGGGACAGGAACUCGGGUCCUCAGGACUGAACUCACCCAACCUGCAGGAGAUGCUGAGUUGUCUGGCCAUUGUCCCUAUCGCCAUAUCCAACAGGAAGCUGAUCAGAAGCAUCCAGGAAGCACAGUGGUAUUUCCUAAAGUGAAGCCAGCAGGUCAGAAUGGGGCAGUUCUUUAUAGUCCCCACUGGACAGCCACUCCACAAGAGUGUGGGCUUAUGUAAAGAUUCAUACCUAAGCUUGCAACCUCCAUCCUGCUAGCAGACUCUUUCCAACUGGAUGAAGAAAGAUGCCAUGCUGUAGAAGUUCAUGUGAUAAGAAAGUGACGGCAACCACCAUGAACUAGUGAAGAACUGAAAUUCUGCCAACAACACCAGUAAGCUCAGAAGCAGAUGGUAAGGCUUUCAGAGCCCAGCCUGAGCUUACUUGAUAGUAGCCUUUACGGGGUUUUCCAGGGAGAAAUCCUGAAGCAGAAGACCCAGGAAAAUUAUGCUGAACAUGUGACCUAUAAACUAUAAUCUAAUACACAUUUGUUGUUUUAAACCACUGAAUCUGUGGUCAUUUGUUGUUUUUUUGUUGGUGUUUUUUAAAAUAAAACAUCUGCUUAAAAUGUGUCAUUAUAUACAAAUGAGAACAUUGUAAAGACCUGGGGGACUUUCUACAGGCAGAAUCAACUGCUGUGCCAUUCACAUCUCUUCCCGCUGGCCCUGCAGCAUCCCAGAAAGAGCCUUUUACAGUUCCAUUCCAUAAAAUACCCCACAAAAUUGAGUGACCAAGUAGACCUUACUAUAUUUUUUGUGCUGGUCUUGGACUGUUUGUAGCUCACAAGGAAUAGAGCUUAUAAGGAAAGAUUGUGAACAGGAUAGAGUAUUAAACAAGUAGAUCAACACAAGGAAUAUUCAUCUUCAGAAAGAAACUUGAGCAUUGUGAAUUCAAGUACAUCCAUGCUGAACAUACCAUAAAUUUAGCUAGUUAGGUUGAAUAAACGAAUAAAGUCCUAGAAAGAGCCCAGUCAGGAAAAAAGAGUAAUCUAGCCAAAAAGCUCAUUCAGUUUAUGAAUUAGGAGUUUCAAUCUGGGUUGCCUCAUAAUCUGAGAAAGGAGGAUGUCUCUUUUUCUUUUUCUUCUCUCUCUCUGUCCUAUCUCUCUUUCACAAUUCCUUAAAGCUGCUAUAUUAUUACUGGAUUUGUCCUGCCAUCUGUGGAUGAACUCAACCUCUCUGCCUCAGGGAAGCUACACAGUGGAUUAUGCAGUAGUUCAGUGGUGGCCUUCUAUAUCUCUUCCAACUCUGAAACUCUAUGAAGCUUAAGGAUGACUGCUCUACUCCACCUGAACCUAAAUGUGCCCUUUACCACUGCCUCGGAUUCUCUGACCACUUUUCUUCCUAGGUAGAAAGGGCAGAAAGAUAAGCCAGCCCUUGCCAAUAGCCCAGAAACUUCAUUCACUUUGAUCCAGCCACACUGAGGUUUUAUUUGGUUGUUUGUUGUGGUUUUAAUCAUCCUCAUACAUGUAAUGUUGUGAUUCUUGGGUGAAU